UGAGUAAUGCGUGACCAACCUGCCCCAUGCUCCAGAAUAGCUCUUGGAAACGGGUGGUAAUGCUGGAUGCUCCAACUUGACGCAUGUCUUGUUGGGAAAGUGUUUAGUGGCAUGGGAUGGGGUCGCGUCCUAUCAGCUUGUAGGCGGGGUAAUGGCCCACCUAGGCUUCGACGGGUAGCCGGCCUGAGAGGGCGGACGGCCACAUUGGGACUGAGAUACGGCCCAGACUCCUACGGGAGGCAGCAGAG
rnacentral:rRNA from 1 species